UACGUAGGGUGCGAGCGUUGUCCGGAAUUAUUGGGCGUAAAGAGCUCGUGGGCGGCUUGUCGCGUCGACUGUGAAAUCCCGCGGCUCAACUGCGGGUCUGCAGUCGAUACGGGCAGGCUAGAGUUCGGUAGGGGAGACUGGAAUUCCUGGUGUAGCGGUGAAAUGCGCAGAUAUCAGGAGGAACACCGGUGGCGAAGGCGGCAUCCUGGACCGGCAUUGACGCGUGAGGCGCGAAAGCCAGGGAGCAAACGGG
rnacentral:rRNA from 1 species